AUGUAGAGUUAUUUGUUGUAAUUCUGUUGUAAACAUUUGAAGAGCUUUGUGUUUGAUACAAUUUCUCAUUUUUAAUGCAAAAUCUGAGAGGACUCAACUGACUCGGGUUAAUGGUCACUAAGGACUCAUGGUUCUCGAGUCAUUUUAGGGAUCGGGUUAAAUGAUCCGAGUUUCGGGUGACUCGCUCAUCACUACAACGUUGCGAUAAUUCAGUAGAGUCUAACCUCAAUCGGUUUUUGCAGCUUCUGGGUGUCGUGUCGAACGAUCGCAGAACGAUAUUUUGUUCUUUUCCAACUCGAUUUUUAACUCCCUAAACUAGUAGGAUGUUCCAACGGGUGAAGCAACAGUGCUGACGGCAGAGUUUCAGUGUCAAUUUUUCAUGCCAUGAUCACUGGGGCGGAAACCAUUAUGACGUUGCCUUGGACAUCAAACUAAACCAUCUCAUUCUGGCUUUUUUCUAACAUCGAAAUCUCAGAAGGACAGGACUAAGAUGGACGCAGCCUCCACAUGCAACCUUGCAUUUGAGGAACACCCAUAGAACGGUCAACUUACCCCAUACUCUAACCUGAAUGCAGGGAUCAUAAAACCUUAUCUUUUACCUUAAUUGUUAGAUGGUUGUUGAUACCAAACUUUUUUGUCUCGUCUACCCAGGAGAAAGUCAUGGGUUCUGCUGCUGAGGUUGUCAUAAAGCAUGCUUUUUCCAUUUGUUGCAUUGGGCAAUAUUAUCAAAAGAUUCUGAAAGAAAUAAGAUAAUUUUCAAAGCAUUAACAUGAAUAUGAAAGCAUUAAGUCAUUAAUGACCAUCUUUUAUUAUUGUUUAUUUACAGUGUCUUUUAUUCUGCUUACCUGACUCAUGCAGAAUUCUGGCUUGAUGUUUGGUCCACCUGUUAGCUGGCUCUGGUGCUUGGUAGUCUUCUCAAACCUCUGAAUCAAGGCCACCAUGAGAGGCCUUCUGAAGACCAUCAUUACGCUUCAGAUCCAGUUGUCUUUACUAUGAGAUGGGACUGAACUGGAGUCUGUGAACUAAUGCUGUGUUCGAGACAACUUGGAUGUUGGAUAUUAUUGACCUCAAACCCGUAAGAAGUCUGGAACAGCAAACAAAAUCCUUUCUCUUUUUAAUGCAGAACUUAAGGAUGAAGCACCCUGAUCUACUAAGAUGCACAGAUUCAACUCUGGCCCAGCAUCAUCCCCACACCUCAUCUGCCAUCAGUUUAAUUUAAUGUCUGUCAAUUGCAAAUGCUAUUUAUUUCAGUUAUAUUACAACUUAAUGUUAACUUUAAUUAAGACUAGUAUUGUGUAAAGCUGGGGUUUCCAAACUUUUCAUUUCAAAACCUAUUAGACAAGUGUAAUCUAUUCAAGACCCACUAAAAUAUUUUUUUAUGGGGUAAAACACAUUUGUUCUCUUUCAGUGGAGUCAUUUUAUUUUCAUAAUAUUCCAUAAUGUAAAGCAGUGGUUCUUAACGUUAUUCCUCGAGGCCCAUUGCUCUGCACAUUUUGUAUGUCUUUUUUAUCUGACAGACC